CCUCGACUGACACACACAAGGCACUACUCUCCCAGAGGGGUUCAGCAUGGUGCCCUCAGCCGAUCCUAGAGCCAAAGGGCCCAUGGACGAGCGUUGCUCAAUGUCUGCAGAGUGUUCCAGCAAGGUUCCCAGCUCAGACUCCAGCUUUGGAUAAAGAACACUAUUUCUUUAGUUAUUUAGCAAAAUUAAACUUUGUGUUAUCUGCUGCAAGAGCACCAAGGGGGAGAAAUCAGUUAAUUUUUUUUAAAUUUUGAGAUGGAGUCUUGCUAUGAAGUGAUGUGAUCUCGGCUCACUGCAACUUCUGCCUGCUGGGUUCAAGUGAUUCCCUGCCUUAGCCUCCCGAGUAGCUGGGACUCCAGGUGCCUGCCGCCACACUCAGCUAAUUUUUGUUUUGUUUUGUUUUGUUUUGUAAUUUUAGUAGAGACAUGGUUUCACCAUAUUGGCCAGGCUGGUCUCGAACUCCUGACCUCAGGUGAUCCACCUGCCUCGGCCUCCCAAAGUGCUGGGAUUACAGACGUGAGCCACCGAGCCUGGCCAAAUCAGUUAAUUAUAUUAGUAUUUACGUGGUCUUAAGAUCUUAGCUUAAUGAACCAAAUGUGAUUUGUCAAAAUUGACAACUGGGAAGGAAGGCCAAGAAUCUGAAAGAAAGACCAGAGAUUAUGCACAAACUGGAACAGCAGAAUGAUAAUCAUUUUAUCUCGUGGAUCUGGUCCUGUUUCCAGUAGUCACACUGCUCUGGCAUGGUGCUGGCAUCAACUCUUCAUAAAACUGCCAGAUCCAGAUCUUAGCCAACGUUAAAUUCUUGGCGAGGGCCUUGCGAACCUUCUUAGAAAUUACCUUACAAUCUUAACAACCAG
rnacentral:lncRNA from 1 species